CGCGUAGGCGGUCUCUUAAGUCAGAUGUGAAAGCCCGGGGCUUAACCCCGGAAGUGCAUUUGAAACUAAGGGACUUGAGUAUGGGAGAGGGAAGUGGAAUUCCUGGUGUAGAGGUGAAAUUCGUAGAUAUCAGGAGGAACACCGGUGGCGAAGGCGACUUCCUGGACCAAUACUGACGCUGAGGCGCGAAGGCGUGGGGAGCAAACGGGAUUAGAUACCCUGGUAGUCC
rnacentral:rRNA from 1 species